GAUGAACGCUGGCGGCGUGCUUAACACAUGCAAGUCGAACGAUGAAGCUCAGCUUGCUGGGUGGAUUAGUGGCGAACGGGUGAGUAACACGUGAGUAACCUGCCCUUAACUCUGGGAUAAGCCUGGGAAACUAGGUCUAAUACCGGAUAGGAGCGCCUACCGCAUGGUGGGUGCUGGAGAGAUUUAUCGGUUUUGGAUGGACUCGCGGCCUAUCAGCUUGUUGGUGAGGUAAUGGCUGACCAAGGCGACGACGGGUAGCCGGCCUGAGAGGGUGACCGGCCACACUGGGACUGAGACACGGCCCAGACUCCUACGGGAGGCAGCAGUGGGGAAUAUUGCACAAUGGGCGAAAGCCUGAUGCAGCGACGCCGCGUGAGGGAUGACGGCCUUCGGGUUGUAAACCUCUUUCAGUAGGGAAGAAGCGAAAGUGACGGUACCUGCAGAAGAAGCACCGGCUAACUACGUG
rnacentral:rRNA from 1 species